rnacentral:rRNA from 1 species
UCUGACGGAGCACGCCGCGUGAGUGAUGAAGGCUUUCGGGUCGUAAAACUCUGUUGUUAGGGAAGAACAAGUGCUAGUUGAAUAAGCUGGCACCUUGACGGUACCUAACCAGAAAGCCACGGCUAACUACGUGCCAGCAGCCGCGGUAAUACGUAGGUGGCAAGCGUUAUCCGGAAUUAUUGGGCGUAAAGCGCGCGCAGGUGGUUUCUUAAGUCUGAUGUGAAAGCCCACGGCUCAACCGUGGAGGGUCAUUGGAAACUGGGAGACUUGAGUGCAGAAGAGGAAAGUGGAAUUCCAUGUGUAGCGGUGAAAUGCGUAGAGAUAUGGAGGAACACCAGUGGCGAAGGCGACUUUCUGGUCUGUAACUGACACUGAGGCGCGAAAGCGUGGGGAGCAAACAGGAUUAGAUACCCUGGUAGUCCACGCCGUAAACGAUGAGUGCUAAGUGUUAGAGGGUUUCCGCCCUUUAGUGCUGAAGUUAACGCAUUAAGCACUCCGCCUGGGGAGUACGGCCGCAAGGCUGAAACUCANGGNUUUUCCGGGGGGA